UUCCGGGUUGAUCCUGGCGGAGGUCACUGCUAUCGGUGUUCGAACUAAGCCAUGCGAGUCAAAUGUUCUUCGUGAACAUGGCGUACUGCUCAGUAACACGUGGAUAACCUGCCCUUUAGGACUGGCAUAACCCCGGGAAACUGGGGAUAAUUCCGGAUAGUUCAUGGUAGCUGGAAUGCUCCAUGAUCGAAAGCUAUUGCGCCUAAGGAUGGGUCUGCGGUCUAUCAGGUAGUAGUGGGUGUAAUGUACCUACUAGCCGACGACGGAUACGGGUUGUGGGAGCAAGAGCCCGGAGAUGGAUUCUGAGACAUGAAUCCAGGCCCUACGGGGCGCAGCAGGCGCGAAAACUCUACAAUGCGGGAAACCGCGAUAAGGGGACACCGAGUGCCAGCAUCUUAUGUUGGCUGUCCGCAUGUAUAAAUCACAUGUGUUAGCAAGGGCCGGGCAAGACCGGUGCCAGCCGCCGCGGUAACACCGGCGGCCCGAGUGGUGGCCACUAUUAUUGGGUCUAAAGGGUCCGUAGCCGGUUUGGUCAGUCUUCCGGGAAAUCUGACGGCUUAACCGUUAGGCUUUCGGGGGAUACUACCAGGCUUGGGACCGGGAGAGGUAAGAGGUACUACGGGGGUAGGAGUGAAAUCUUGUAAUCCUCGUGGGACCACCAGUGGCGAAGGCGUCUUACCAGAACGGGUCCGACGGUGAGGGACGAAAGCUGGGGGCACGAACCGGAUUAGAUACCCGGGUAGUCCCAGCCGUAAACUAUGCUCGCUAGGUGUCAGGGACGGUGCGACCGUUUCUGGUGCCGCAGGGAAGCCGUGAAGCGAGCCACCUGGGAAGUACGGUCGCAAGGCUGAAACUUAAAGGAAUUGGCGGGGGAACAC
rnacentral:rRNA from 1 species